rnacentral:rRNA from 1 species
CCUACGGGUGGCAGCAGUGAGGAAUAUUGGUCAAUGGGCGCGAGCCUGAACCAGCCAAGUAGCGUGAAGGAUGACUGCCCUACGGGUUGUAAACUUCUUUUAUAAAGGAAUAAAGUGAGGCACGUGUGCCUUUUUGUAUGUACUUUAUGAAUAAGGAUCGGCUAACUCCGUGCCAGCAGCCGCGGUAAUACGGAGGAUUCGAGCGUUAUCCGGAUUUAUUGGGUUUAAAGGGAGCGUAGAUGGGUUGGUAAGUCAGUUGUGAAAGUUUGCGGGUCAAACGUAAAAUUGCAAUUGAUACUGGCAGCCGUGAGUUGGAGUGAGGUAGGGCGAAUGCGCGGUGGAGCGGUGAAA